ACAUAGUGGAGGUUAUCAAGGAGACAGGUGGUGCAUGGUUGUCGUCAGCUCGUGUCGUGAGAUGUUGGGUUAAGUCCCGCAACGAGCGCAACCCUUAUUGCUAGUUACCAUCAUUAAGUUGGGGACUCUAGCGAGACUGCCAGUGAUAAACUGGAGGAAGGUGGGGAUGACGUCAAAUCAUCAUGCCCCUUAUGACCUGGGCUACAAACGUGAUACAAUGGCUGAAACAAAGGGCAGCGAAGCAGUGAUGUGGAGCGAAACCCAAAAAAGCAGUCUCAGUUCGGAUUGAAGUCUGCAACUCGACUUCAUGAAGUUGGAAUCGCUAGUAAUCGUAGAUCAGAACGCUACGGUGAAUACGUUCUCGGGGUUU
rnacentral:rRNA from 1 species